CUGGAUGUGUAGCAAGUAUGGGAACUAACCAUUCGUUGCUUUCAGUCCUUGAGAUUGUAGGGUUGUUUGUUCCUGCAGCAGAGUCAACCCUAUCCUGCAGACAUAGAAAUCGUGAAGGGAACAUUUCCCUUGUAUAAAACUACUUUGCUCUCCCUUUCCCUAUUCUGGGGCCAAAACCGUUGCGGGAGUGGAAUCGGCACGGUGCUGAACCCACCGUGGUACCAGCUGGUGGUCUACGAUGGAUUGGUGGACUCCAUGUUAUUUAUGCUAGAGAUUUGCUUCCAUUGGACCUGCAAGGGCUCCGCUCAGCUGUUGUUCGAACACACAGUGGAAUGGAUGGCUUUGUGGUGACAGGAAUCUAAAACGUUGGUAAGUUAGAGGCGCUUCAUUUCAAAGCCAUUUGGACCACUCCCAUUCAGGUCUCAGAGCGGAGCGUACAAGACGAGGCAGGGAAUGGGGGGAUGCAGCCGUGGUGAGUUUGAAAUGCUGCUGGCAUCACCCGAGGGGACCCCAGGCAUCUCAGUAUUCUCUGCAUGGGGAGUGUCGAAGGGGGCAGGUGCUUUCAGCACGUCAGUGUCCAGCGAUGGGCUCUCUUACAGACUAGAGAAGGAGCCGAGGACAGUCAUGGUGUAGUCACCUGUUGGGUGUAGAGCAGGCCAAGUUCAAAGUCAUCAAUUUUCAUCAUGAGUCCCCUUAGUCGCUCUACAAAACGUUUCUUAGCCUGCUGUGGGCCACCUUCCCAAAGUCUUCAUGCUGUGAAUUGAUGCUCCUAUCUCAUGUUUUUUUUUUUUUUUUUUUCAUGUUGGUUUUUAAUAAAGACUCUGCUCCUCAGAGCAGUGAAAGGUGGGAGAAGCCAGAGGGGCGGCAGUGAUCAGAUUCACAUCGAGAAACGCCUCCGCGGUGUGGACAGGAGCUGCUGGAGGACUCUGGAGGACAGGGGGUGGCAGCUUGCAUCACUAGGUUGUGGCCAAGAGGGAGAGGUGGACAGACACCGGAGAUGCAGAGGAAGGAGGGCCCUUCUAGGAGAAAGGCAGAGGGUGUAAGGAGAAGCACGGAAAGCCGCGUGACCAUGGAAGGUAUGCAGCGACGAGCCAAGGACACCUGGAGUCAGGUGCAGCGGGAAGAGGAUGGUGCCCCAGAUCUAGCCUGCGGAGGGGGGUGUGAUGUCAGACUUCUGCUCUCUGGAGCUGUGAGGGAAUAAGCCACGUUCGUGGCCAUUUGUGAGUCUCUGCCUCUCUCUGUCUCUCAUGAAUAAAUAAAUAAAAUCUUAAAAAAAAAUAAAGGGAUGAGUAGUAGAAACACACCUGCACAGGAGCUAGCGGAGGGGGGGCCAGGGGAGCAAGGAGAACCAGGGCAGCAUCGUCUCACAACAUCGGGGAACAGGGUAUUUCUGGAAGGAUGGAGGCGGUACCAGUGUUUCAAGUGAGGAGAACACGAGGAUUAAACGUGUCCACUAGAGCUCAGGAAGUCAUUGGUGACACGAGCAAAAGCUCGGCUCGUCAAGUCAUCCCGCCAUCUCCAAGUGGAGUGGAAGUGACAACAGGAGGGAGGACCUUUGGACCAUUACGUAAAGGAGUGAGCUAGGAAUGUGUUGGAGACAGGGGAUACGUGAGGGUUUAGAUUGGUUUGUGUUUUUUAAAGAAGGAUCAAAUGGGAACCAAACCACAGGUGGAAGAAGGGCAGCCCUGGCUGCAGAGGACAGAGGUGGUGGGUGCAGGUGAGUGAACAGAAGAGGAUGUUCUUGGGUCGCGGCUUCUGUUUUCUGAGAUUGGACAGUGGAGUGGAGGAGGCAGCCUCUAGGACGGUCCCCUGUGACCCCAUGGACCCCAACGGCUUGGCUGAAACCUGAUGUGAUCUUGAGCCAGGGGCAUCCAGCUAAUCCAGGUCUGGAUUCCUUGAAUAGAAGCUAUGAGAUGAUGCUUUUUAUGCGUUAGCCACGGAGUUUGGGGGUAAUUUGUUACACAGCAAGAGAUAACUAAUACAUAGUUUUAUUUCCUGAGAGUGUAGGAUGGGGAGGAGGAUUGAAGGUUUGGGGGCACCUGGGGGGACUCAGCGGUUGAGCAUCUGUCUUUUGCUCAGGGCGUGACCCCAGGGUCCUGGGAUCGAGUCCCGCAUCCGGCUCCCUGCAUGGAGCCUGCUUCUCCCUCUGCCUGUGUCUCUGCCUCUCUCUGUGACUCUCAUGAAUAAAUAAAAAUCUUUUUUUUUUUUUUUUUUUUAAAGAGGGGAGAUUUUGAGAGGCACCUGGCUGGCUCAGUUAGUAGAGCUGGUGACUCUUGAUCUCAGGGUUGUGGGUUUGAGCCCCACGUUGGGGGUCGAGUUCACUUUAUAUUUUUAAAAGAGAGGGGACAUUUGAAAUGGUCAUGGUGCAAAGCAAGACAGAAUAACACAAUAGGAUUUCCGGGCUAUAACGAGAGCCCAUCUGAGCUUAGCAACCAUGGCUUUAGGGUAGAACCAGCUUGCCGUAUGUCAGCUAUAAUGGGUUUUUUUUUAACUUUUUUCGAAUGGAAACUUUUCUCAUGGUUUGGUGAGUCACAGGACAUAUGCCCCGCCCGCCCCCCCCCCCAUCCUUCCAUGGCAUCUUCAGGGAUGUUUAUUCAUCCAGCAUGUUUGCUGAGGACCUGUUAGGUGCCAGGCUCUUUUUAUUUGUUAACAAGUUUUAUUGAGUGUCUAACUGGUGCCAGGCAUUCCAGACACCAUUCCAGCUUGGGGCAUGGAAAAUAGGUAAGUCAGCGACAUGGUCAUGCGUACCAAAAAUAAAAGCAAAGGAUGGGGCACCUGGGUGUCAGCGGUUGAGCAUCUGCCUUCAGCUCAGGGCAGUGAUCCCGGGGUCCUGGGAUCGAGUCCCGCAUCGGGGCUCCCUGCAGGGAGCUUGCUUCUCCCUCUGCCUGUGUCUCUGCCUCUCCCUCUGUGUUUCUCAUGAAUAAAUACAUAAAAUCUUAAAAAGAAGAAAAGGUUAACAAGGGAACGGAGUGAAGGGGUGCUCCCGUGUAUGGGGGGGCCAGCGCAGCCUACAGUGGGACAAGUGGAGGAAGCCCGUAGAACAGCGAACAGGCUAAAGUCCUUGCCCUGCUGCAACUUACCUUCUGGAGGAGGAAGCAGAAAAUGGAGCAAGAAAAUGGACUUGCAGGUGCUGACCCAUGGCAGGAGGCUGCCGUAGGGUGAGUGGCGCAGGCCUCUCUGGGAAGGCAGGGCCGGGGCAGCGUU
rnacentral:tRNA from 1 species